UUGUCAGCUCUUUGAGUCGGAACACACGGAAAUCCUACAGCAUGACUCUACUCUGUGUUCGAGCCUCGGAACCCGUGUGUAACCUGUGUUCUCAGAUUAUACCAGCCACUUGCCAGCUACUUUAAAUUACCAGAAGAGAAUCAGCCGAGAUUGAAGAUGCCACAUGGGGCCUUUUCUGACCCCAUGUCUGAAGUUUACCUCCUCCUCUACCAGACCACCAUACCAGCCUUCACCUCUCUGAAUCUCCCUCUACAGAGAGCACGUUCAUCUACAGCGAUCAGCCACAACGUUAAAACCACUGACAGGUGAAGUGAAUAACAUUAUCUCCUUACAAUGGGACCUGUCAAGAUCUGGGAUACAUUAGGCAGCGGGUGAACAGUCAGUUCUUGAAGAUGAUGUGUUGGAAGCAGGAAAAAUGUGCGAGCGAAAGGAUCCGAGCGACUUUGACGAGGCCCAAAUUGUGACGGUUGGACGACUGGGUCAGAACAACGCCAAACAGACAGGUCUUGAGGGGCGUUCCCGGGACGCAGUGGUUAGUACCUACCAAAAGUGGUCCAAGGAAGGACAAGCGGUGAGCCAGCAACAGGAUCAUGGGUGCCCAAGGCUCAUUGAUAUGCGGGGGGAGCGAAGGCUGGCCUGUGUGGUCCAGUCCCUCAGAAGAGCUACUGCAGCACAAAUUGCUGAAAACCUUAAUGCUGGCUGUGACGGAAAGCUGUCAGGACACACAGAGCAUCACAGCUCUGGUCGGAUAAACAAAUUGGACCGAGGAUACCAGAAUCCAUCAAGGAAUCAUAUUUCCCAUGUCGCCAUUCUAAAUAUGGACUACACAAGCAGGAAAACAGUGGAACCGGACCUGGGUCCAGUUGAACACUACACCUGUACCACGGAUCCUCGGUCCAGUUGAAUGACAAAGCCCCACAUCAGUGUCACCGUACAUUAUCUGACAGCUUACUUCCCCGGAGAAAACACCGGAUAAAAAACAUCACAUGUGGACCACGUGAGGCUUUGGCCACCUGGUAUUUGCGGGAGGAGCAGCUAGUUUGCAUCACAACCGACAACGGGUCAAACAUUGUGAUGAUCCACCGAACUCAACCACUGAGUCAGGCUUCGGUCUUUUGGCCGCAGGCUGCAUCUUGCCAUCGAAAGUGCUGUGAAAGGUGACAGCCGAUUUGUCCGUGCUGCUGCGCUUUGCAGAAAGUCGGUGGAGCACUGACUCAUCACAGAAUGCCCAAACAGGUGGGGGCAGAGGCAAAAGAUGAUGGAGAGGGUGUUGGAGCAGCGGCAAGCCGUGUCUGACGUCCUUUUGGGAGGCCAAAAAACACAGCAUCUAGUUCCCCCCUGGACCUGGAUGUACUCGAGUCUGUAAACAUGGCUUCACAACCUUUGCAAGACCUUACUGAUGCUCUUUCCAGGGAAGGUUAGGUGAGUGUUUCACAUGCGAAACCAGUCCUUCAUCUCCUGUAGACAUCUGUCCUGGCAGAAAAGGAAGAUGACACUAAUUUAACCAGGAGCCUCAAGGUGAAAACACUGGUUUACAUAAAUACAAAGUGUGAUGACCCAGCAACACAAGAACUAAUGAAACUGCAUCCUCCGUGGACCCCAGGUUAAAGGUCAGCUACAUCAGCUGCGAAAAAGUGGAACACCUCAAGACUCAGGUGUCAGAGAGGAAAGAAACAGCACAGAAGGAGGGAAGACCCACUGACCACACCGAGGCCCGAAGCAUGGAUCCACCCAGUGAAAGCGAUGAUCGGGCAGUUUACUCAAAUCAAACCCGGGCCCCGGCUCCACCGCGUCUUCCAUGCAGCUGGAGCAAACUGAACUUCGCAGCUACCCGCCGCCCCCCCACCCUUGACAGUGAGGCAGACCCUUUGGCCUGGUGGAAACACCACCAGGUUGCCUACCCAAAGCUGAGCGAACCAGCUCAGAGGUGUCUUUGUACACCUGCCACUAGUUCAGCACAUCAGGGAAUGUGGUAACAUGUCGACGUGCAGGAUUGAAACCUAGCAAAGUUAACAUGCUGUUUUCUUGGCCAAGAACUUGCCCUUGGGGAAUAACUAAGGUAGCAACUCACCCUGAGGGGUAGAUAUAGUUCUCCUGAUUUAGUGGCCUUACUCUAUUUCAGUUUUUCCACUCAUACUAUGAGACCUUGUUGUGUGGAGUCCAGGACCUCCCGUGACAUGUAAUGGGAUAACUGUAAUGACAUUGCAGUAAUUUUAAAUUGCCAUGUUUCAUUUAUAUUUAUUGAAUUAUUUAAGAUGUUUUCUCCCAGAUAUUUUUUUUUUAUUUCAAGAGAUGUUUCUGUUGAGAUUAGAAGAAAUUAUUUUAAAAGGAGCAAAUUUCCACUAGUUAUAAUGUCCUAUUUUAAUUAAUGCUCUCUUUAAUUGCUCGA